AGGUCAUCUCAUCUGGAAGGAGAGAUGGCUUAAAGGGGUACGCGGGCUUCUUCCGCGAAUCUGCUCCAGGAUGGGACUGCGUCCGAUCAGGCUGUUGGCGGGGUAAUGGCCCACCAAACCUGUAACCGGUACGGGCCUUGAGAGAGGUGGCCCGGAGAUGGACACUGAGAGAAGGGUCCAGGUCCUACGGGGCGCAGCAGGCGCGAAACCUUCGCAAUGCGCGAAAGCGUGACGAGGUUAAUCCGAGUGACUCCCGCUGAGGGGGUCUUUUGUCAGCUGUAAAUAGGCAGGCGAAUAAGGGGAGGGCAAGCCUGGUGUCAGCCGCCGCGGUAAUACCAGCUCCUCGAGUGGUCGGGGCGAUUAUUGGGCCUAAAGCAUCCGUAGCCGGUUCCGUAGGUCCUCUGUUAAAUCCAACCGCUUAACGGUUGACCUGCAGAGGAUACCGCGGGACUAGGAGGCGGGAGAGGCGGACGGUACUCCGCGUGUAGGGGUAAAAUCCUUUGAUCCGCGGAAGGCCACCAGUGGCGAAGGCGGUCCGCAGAACGCGCUCGACGGUGAGGGAUGAAAGCUGGGGGAGCGAACCGGAUUAGAUACCCGGUA
rnacentral:rRNA from 1 species